rnacentral:rRNA from 1 species
UACAGAGGUCUCAAGCGUUGUUCGGAUUCAUUGGGCGUAAAGGGUGCGUAGGCGGAUCCUUAAGUCGGUGGUGAAAUCCUGAAGCUCAACUUCAGAACUGCCUUCGAUACUGGGGACCUUGAGUUCGGGAGAGGUGAGUGGAACUGCGAGUGUAGAGGUGAAAUUCGUAGAUAUUCGCAAGAACACCAGUGGCGAAGGCGGCUCACUGGCCCGAUACUGACGCUGAGGUGCGAAAGCGUGGGGAGCAAACAGG